rnacentral:rRNA from 1 species
CUGCACGAAUGGCGUAAUGAUGGCCAGGCUGUCUCCACCCGAGACUCAGUGAAAUUGAACUCGCUGUGAAGAUGCAGUGUACCCGCGGCAAGACGGAAAGACCCCGUGAACCUUUACUAUAGCUUGACACUGAACAUUGAGCCUUGAUGUGUAGGAUAGGUGGGAGGCUUUGAAGUGUGGACGCCAGUCUGCAUGGAGCCGACCUUGAAAUACCACCCUUUAAUGUUUGAUGUUCUAACGUGGACCCGURAUCCGGGUUGCGGACAGUGUCUGGUGGGUAGUUUGACUGGGGCGGUCUCCUCCUAAAGAGUAACGGAGGAGCACGAAGGUUGGCUAAUCCUGGUCGGACAUCAGGAGGUUAGUGCAAUGGCAUAAGCCAGCUUGACUGCGAGCGUGACGGCGCGAGCAGGUUGGCACUGCCCGGUAGCUAAAUGCGGAAGAGAUAAGUGCUGAAAGCAUCUAAGCACGAAACUUGCCCCGAGAUGAGUUCUCCCUGAGACUUAGAGUCUCCUGAAGGAACGUUGAAGACGACGACGUUGAUAGGCCGGGUGUGUAAGCGCAGCGAUGCGUUGAGCUAACCGGUACUAAUGAACCGUGAGGCUUAACCUU